UGCAUAGCCGACCUGAGAGGGUGAUCGGCCACACUGGAACUGAGACACGGUCCAGACUCCUACGGGAGGCAGCAGUAGGGAAUCUUCCGCAAUGGGCGAAAGCCUGACGGAGCAACGCCGCGUGAGUGAUGAAGGUCUUCGGAUCGUAAAACUCUGUUAUUAGGGAAGAACAUAUGUGUAAGUAACUGUGCACAUCUUGACGGUACCUAAUCAGAAAGCCACGGCUAACUACGUGCCAGCAGCCGCGGUAAUACGUAGGUGGCAAGCGUUAUCCGGAAUUAUUGGGCGUAAAGCGCGCGUAGGCGGUUUUUUAAGUCUGAUGUGAAAGCCCACGGCUCAACCGUGGAGGGUCAUUGGAAACUGGAAAACUUGAGUGCAGAAGAGGAAAGUGGAAUUCCAUGUGUAGCGGUGAAAUGCGCAGAG
rnacentral:rRNA from 1 species